AGGCUGAAGACCACGCCCCGCGCCUCCCGGCCCGCCCAGUCCCUCUCUCGCCGCCGCCCCGAGCAGAGCUCUGGGGGCGGAGCCGCCUCCCCGCGGCCACCGCAACUUUCCCUCCGUCUUAGCGACCCUUGCAGGGAGCGACACACUAACUCCGAAUGCAGGUUCACGACCCUCUCUGCCUCUGCCUAUCCGCAGCUGGAGACAAAGGGGAAGCAGACUCAGAACACUUUUCAGGCGGGUUUCACUCCUUCACCGCGGAGUGAAGGAUGCCUUCAUUCGCAGAUGCCCUGGAUCUGCAAAUCAGCGACCCGACCGCGAUCGGGUCCUUGAACCCAGGUGGAAGAGCCUUGGCUGAAUGAGGACUUUUCGUCUGCUUCUUAGAGUAUCAGGGAGUCCAGACCUCGACGUCAACUGAGGGAAAUGAGAUGAGGAGGGGCUUGUUUAACAAUGCAGAUUAGUGAACCCCUCAGCCUGGAGGCGGGGAUGAGGCCAGCCGCCUCAACCGGCGACAUUCAGGAGAAAGUGGAUUCUUGGGAAUCGGUCCUGCAGGUGCCAGUUGGAUUUUUCAGCAAAUUACUCAAUCCUGUGACUCAGGAUGAUAUCACCUGACUCCUACUCUCCUCCUGAGCGGCUAUUACAAAAUUAAGACUCUUGAAGUCAUACACAAACACAUCACUCCACUAUUAAUAAACAAAGAAGCAGUGGCCUGAAAGAACUACUCUGCUGAGUUUCUAUCACAAUCAAGUUGAAUUUCGUGCAGGUACGGCCUCGUGUAAAUUGUGUGGCUGCAGAAUCUUACCUGGGUUGCUUAGUGCGCUGCUGAUGGCCCAUGCUAAAUAAAAUGGUAUGUUGGGAGAGCCAAGACCUUGGUUUUCAUUAAGAAUCUCACAACCAUCUAUAACUCCAGUUCCAGGAGAAUCUGAUGCUCUCCUCAGACUUCUGAAGACACCAGUCAUGUACUUAGUACACAUACACACAAAAUAAAAUGAAUAAGUCUAAAAUAUAAUAAUAAUAAACUUUU